rnacentral:rRNA from 1 species
CGGAGCGUUUUUUUUUUUAGAGUUUUGUUCCCAACUCGGAAACCUGAACUUUUGUGAAUUAUACCAUCUGUUGCUCGGCGAGGCGGCCUCUUCCUGAGGCCCUGGAAAGGAGCAGCCCGCCGGCGGCCAACUAAACUCUUGUUUCUAUAGUGAAUCUCUGAGUAAAAAACUAAAUGAAUCAAAACUUUCAACAACGGAUCUCUUGGUUCUGGCAUCGAUGAAGAACGCAGCGAAAUGCGAUAAGUAAUGUGAAUUGCAGAAUUCAGUGAUCAUCGAAUCUUUGAACGCACAUUGCGCCCUCUGGUUUCCGGAGGGCAUGCCUGUUCGAGCGUCAUUUCACCCUCAGCCUGGCUUGGUGAUGGGGCAUGCCUUCUAACGAGGGCGGUCUGAAUCUAUGGCGAGCUCGCUAGGACCCCGAGCUAGUAUUAUAUCUCGUCUGAAGGCCUGGCGGGCCUGCGAAACCCCCAACUCUGAAAUUUGCCUCGGAUAGGAGGAUCCCGCUGAAUUUAAGCAAUCAUAGCGAGGAAU